rnacentral:misc_RNA from 1 species
GGGACAAAAAAAAUUUAAUUGAAUUUUCUUGAACGAUAACAAUUUUCAUGAACAGAUUGCCUAAAAGAGACCUUAAUUUGCAACUGUCGAAAAAAGAAAAAUUCCAUGCUAGUUGUUUUUGAGUCGACACUCGACUUCUUUGCCUUGGAGAAUUCUCUCCACAGCGUCAGGAGGAAGGCCAGUCAUGUCCAAAUUCAAUGAGCCCUCGCUGUGAAAGGAAGGAGCGGAGCGCUGUGCUAAGUUUAUAAGUCCGUCUCUGUCGAUUCAGUUGCAGUUAUUCGCCUUUCUUGCGAGCCAAAAGUUGUAGUUGUUCUUGAGGACUAAAGGGGAAACAUGGAAUGGCUUGUUGAGCAACUUUCACCAUUUGAGGAGGACUCUUCCAGGGGAAACACAUCCCACACUGGUACCAGCUUCAAGAGGCAGGUUUUUCUGCAGGAUGCUACUAAACGUGACCUGCGCAAGCUUACUCUUUGAAUAUGCCUUUGAACUAUUAUAUUUCAGCUUCUUCUGGGUGGAAUUCAGGUCAUUGGUGUCAACAUAGCCCAUGGAAUACAGAAUAGAAUUCCCAUUAACAAUCCGGCUUGGAGAGCCUUUUAGGAGAGAUGGUAGAAGCAAUAUAGAAAGCAAUGCGGGAGCAAAAUGGUUAACCUGCAUAUGUGCAUCAUACCCAUAUUUUGAAAAUUUCUGUGGCUCUUUUAUUGAUAAUAUUUCGGAGCUAUUGACAAGAACUUGCAGAUCAGGUUUCGAACGCGAAUUCCAUUGCUUGGCAAAUUUCACCACAGAGUUGAGGGAGAGCAGAUUCAGCCCCAUUGCCUCAACUUUGAGUUGGCCUGUUCAAUUCAAUUCGUCCUGCCAUUCAUCCUGGAUCAAAUCAUAGGCUAUGGUUGUGUUCCUUAAAGCCAUAAUCGCACGUGCCCUGGAGAAAGCCAAUUGCCUGGCUAUUUCAAGUCCAAUACCACAGGUUGACCCAGUUAUGAUACAGGUGAAAUCAUUGAGAGGAGGCUUUGAUCAUUAAUCACUGGAAGGACCUGGCUAGUUUAUAAGCUACUUGGCUCUUCUUGUAGCUUGAAGGACCCUUCAUUGCUAUGAUCAUUAAUUGCUUAUUUUCACUCCCAGCUGAUAAUGAUUUCUCA